rnacentral:rRNA from 1 species
CAGAGGGUGCAAGCGUUAAUCGGAAUUAUUGGGCGUAAAGGGCUCGUAGGCGGUUCGUCGCGUCCGGUGUGAAAGUCCAUCGCUUAACGGUGGAUCUGCGCCGGGUACGGGCGGGCUGGAGUGCGGUAGGGGAGACUGGAAUUCCCGGUGUAACGGUGGAAUGUGUAGAUAUCGGGAAGAACACCAAUGGCGAAGGCAGGUCUCUGGGCCGUUACUGACGCUGAGGAGCGAAAGCGUGGGGAGCGAACAGGAUU